CAGCACCGCGGGAAUACGUAGGGUGCGAGCGUUAAUCGGAAUUACUGGGCGUAAAGCGUGCGCAGGCGGUGCUGCAAGACCGAUGUGAAAGCCCCGGGCUUAACCUGGGAACUGCAUUGGUGACUGCAGCGCUGGAGUAUGGCAGAGGGGGGUGGAAUUCCACGUGUAGCAGUGAAAUGCGUAGAGAUGUGGAGGAACACCGAUGGCGAAGGCAGCCCCCUGGGCCAAUACUGACGCUCAUGCACGAAAGCGUGGGGAGCAAACAGGAUUAGAUACCCGAGUAGUCCCUGUCUCUUAUCAC
rnacentral:rRNA from 1 species